GAUAUUAAAUUUAUAUAGAAAUAAAUUAAAAUUUACAUUUUUAAAUUAAAUUAUUGUAUGAUUUUUUUUAUUU
rnacentral:tRNA from 1 species